UUUUUCCUGCUUUUCAAAGUGCUUCCUAUCGACUUUGCAAUGAAAUGGUUUGACAGUUUUCAAGCAGGCAACACUUUGAUCUAAGUGUCAGCUUGCUUCAUUGGAACAAACAGGAGAUGUUUUGUUCUAGGAGUGUUACUAUCUGCUGUACCUAAUAAUUUAAAAAUAAAUAGAAAAACAGUGUUUCAAGUCAUGUGUUGUGUCAUGGUAGAACUUGUCAUAGUAACAUGUAUUAUAAGUUAUAAUGAACGCAUCAUAAAAUGAAAAAAAAAAUCUGUAGGACAGAAUUACAGCUAAAAUUUUGCAAAUCUGAAAUGAAAUCCUGAACUGAAUUUCAAACAAGAUGUUGUCAUGUCAUUUCAGAAUUUCCCAAUGGGAACAGACAGAAAGGAGUGUUUUUUCAAACCACUUUGAUGUCAAUAAAACAGAAUCUUUUUUAACUGAAGAAUAUUGAGAGAAAGAGAAGUGCGGAGAAGCGUAACCACUGAGACCUACGUAAAUAGUGAAGAUCUGAUUGUGUUGAGCAAUGCCUUUUGUCAUGACUCAGUCAGUCCUCUGCCUUACAUACUAACUGAAAUAACUUUUUCUCAACAGAAGAUCCUUGCUAGUAAAUUCAAGGCCAUGGCAGAACUAAAUAGUUCCUUACCUAUAUGAGUGCUUCCCCUGGGGCUGAACCAAGAGAAGUGAAGAGAAAGCUCAGAGUACUGACCCUGCUGUCCUGCCCGUGACGAAGUCUACUGUCUCUGUACUGUCUCCGCCCCAGCCGAUUGCUUGUGCCAAAUAGCAGGGCAAAGAAGAGCAAGUUUCUCUUCAUGUGGAAUAGCCAGCUUUCAGCAGAAUGGCUACCAAGAAUGAAAGAGCUGCAGGGCUGUUUCGGGGAAGUGUCAUUUCCAGCACAGCGGUGGCCAGCCUUCCUACCUCCACAAGCCGUUUCAGGCAUUUCUCAGAGACACAAACCCAGCAGUGGCAGAAGGCUCAGCCCUGCAGCGGGUGGAAGCCACCCUUGAGGAGCUGCAUGCUGCCCAGGAGACGCCGGUUGGUUGCCCCUGCUCUGGUGUCAGGACGCUCUUGGGGCUGUAUGUGGUGGGGGCUGGCUAUCAUGUGCUGUGAUGUGUCCAGCCGGAGUGUUUGUCGGGGCCCUCAAGGUCACUGGAAAGGCAAAGAACGAUAGCAGUCCUCUGGGCUGGAUCCUGGUGCACUAGGGCUGUGUCCGUGCUGGAAAG
rnacentral:lncRNA from 1 species